CACAGCGUGUUCCUCUUCCGAUGAAGGGGAGUUAUACUAGGAUGAUAUAUCCGCUUGUGGGAUCUGAGUCAAAGUCACACAUAUACACAUACUGACGGCCGAAAGUGUAAUACGCUGUAAGAGAGAGCUGAGUAGGUUGAUUGAUCUGGCGAGUUUUACCGGACUUUUUAUUAUUGGGGAUUUCUCCGGCAGUACGGCGCUGACAUACUGUAUUAUGGUAUUCGGGAAUACAUGUGCCACUUUCGCCGACGUUGUGAAUUGCCGGGGUAAAUGUGACCGGAAACCGUUUUCGAUGGUUUAAGCAUCAGUGACUCUGGGAUAUGCAGUGCCGGAGAAGAACCGAAUUUAAACUGCGCUAUGAUAUUGACCUAUGAUACCCCAAUUGUGGAUGAAUAAGCGAUUUCGGCCACUACGCGCUGCUUAUUAUGGACGGAAAUUUUUGGUCUAGUUUUUAAACAAUCUGCCGCAUCCAUCUGGUGGUUUUGCGUGCGUCUGGAUACAUUCCGCUGAAUGUUUAUAUUUCGCGUCAAGACAUCCUUAUUCCCUCGAUGGCAUGUGUGUUUUUUCCUCUUCCUUGGAAGAAAGAAUCCACAGCUCAGUAGACCGGAAAUAUCAACUCUAGAACAGAUCAACCGCACACGCAGGAG